ensembl:lncRNA
AAAGAAGGCAGCUUCAUGCAGAAAAGCCUUUACUUGGGUAUGACCAUUUCAUGUAAGAAGGUAAUUGAAAGUGCUUGUAAUAGGCAUCUUCUCACCCGUAGAAGACGCAUCAAAACCAUGGAGAGUACUGUAAUUUUAAGAGACAAAAUAGAAAUAGACGGAAAAUGCAUUUGUUAAUAAAACACAGAUGUAGAAAGUGAAAAUGCAGACAGAGUAAUAUCGUUUCUUCAGCAGCAGACUUAACAGCGGGUCUAUUUGUUCAGAUGGUUCAGCUCACGUUAGCGGGGGAGGGUGGGGAGAGUGGGGAGGCUACGUCGGCACCAAACAGACCGUAAAUGGAGGUGAUGUCGCUCUCCAGUAAUUCUCUAAAAUCGUCCCUCUGAGUCCCUAAGCAAACAAGGCAAUGACAAGCAGACAGAAAAGGUCCACACAAAGGACACUACACAGUGCUCACUCACUGACAUACUAACCUUCCAGACCUGAGAGAGAAAAGUGUACAGUCUGUUUCUAACAAUUUCAGGCCAACACCCCCCACCCCUGGCUUUGGGUUCAUCAAGGAGCAGGUUUUGAACAGGUCUACAGAGGCAAGUGUGGUUCAUCACGGAGCAGGUUUUGAACAGGUCUGAGGAGGCCAGUGCGGUUCAUCAGGGAGCAGGUUUGGAACAGGUAUGCAGAGGCCAGUGUGGUUCAUCAGGGAGCAGGUUUAGAACAGGUCUAUUGAGGCUGAUGUGGACUAAUCCGGUGCUGAAUCCAGGAGGAUAUGCUGCCUGAAUGCAAGAUCUCCCUCUACAGUGAAUUCACAAGGAACAACACACUUAAAACACAGAGCUCCACAUGUCCCUUUCAAUUUUGAAAUAACUCUAAAUAACCGAGUCAGAUAUGCGCUAUACUUUGGUGGAAAACACAUUUGUAUGGAUAAACCAAGCAUCAAUUUGAACAACAUGUUCUCAUAAAAAAUCUGUCCAAUUCAAUAUGCCUUUGCCGCUUGUCUUAAAUUACAAAGAGUGCAAAGAAAACACACUCUCCACUUUUCACCUGCUGUAUAGCGCACUGGCCAGCCCAGGGAGCUGACCGCAACUGACCGCAGCCGGUCAGAGACACGAAACAAGUUCCUCCAAGGGUCAGUAGGUAAAAUGUCCACUCGAAAAAAAUAAAAAAUAAAUAAAAAAUGUAAGAGGAAAAAUUGCAUGACUGGCCAUGGCAGAGCUUAACUCCCCCUUAAUGAGGUGGUCUGUUGUGUUUACUGCGCUGGGGUGCGCUUUGGCAGUGACUCCUUUUUUAAAGCAGAGGGCCAUCAUUUCAGAGACCGCCUGGCUGCAUGCUCCCAGGCCAUCAGCACUACUACAGCUCCACAAACUUUUGUCCUUAAAAAGCAGGUUAUGCAAGAAUGUGUGUGUAUAUGUAUUUGUAUGUGUGUGUGUGAGGGUGUGUAUGUGUAUUUGUGUGUGUGUGUGUGUGUGUGUGUGUGUGAGUGUGUGCACGUGUAUUUGUGUGUGUGUAUGUGUAUUUGUGUGUGUGUGUGUGUGUGAGAGUGUUUAUGUGCACGUAUACAAGUCUGAUUUAAUGUCCAAAACAUAAUUUGGGUUUAACUGUUUUUUUUUUUUUUACCUUCCUGGUAAUGCUGGUAGCUCAUGACUGUGGACAUUAAGAACAUGAAGAAUAAUCAUGCAACUGUCCUCAUUUAAUUCAAACCACAGAAUCACUCCCUACAAUCCAAUGAAAUAAUGAGAGAGCCACGCUGUUAUGAUGUAAUUUCAUAUUUGUAUAUAUUUAUAUAUUACACAUUUAUUACAGACAAAAUGAAAUCAAGGUGAAGACAAAAGUGGCAGAUAUAUUUGUAAAAAUGUACAUUUCAUGAAAAAAAAAAAAAAAAUCAUUUAUACAGGUUGUCUUUUUUUCGCGUAACGCUCUUUAAGAAACAAACAAAAAAAAAAAACUGGAGUAAAAGAGUGUGAGACAGAAGGACACAGAAACACAGGGACAGAGUGAGUGAUUUACCAGAAAAGAUACAUCGAAAAGAAAAUGCCUUUGAGUUUUCACCAGAGAUGUGAGAGGCAGCAAGAACCAGCUUGCUAAACACACACACACACACACACACACACACACACAUAUUCUGUUGUGUGUGGAGGCUGAAAAGACACACACUUACUCUGAUGUGUGUGGGGGCUGUUUGUUUGUGGCACACAGGUGAGUGAGGACGUCCCUGUGAGCAGCUGAAACUGGACCACAUCAGGCCCUGAUCCGAGAUCAGCUGCUACAUCCCACCCUCAGAGAACACACACAUCCCAGGUGAUCCCUGUCUCAGCUCACAG